CCUACGGGUGGCAGCAGUGAGGAAUAUUGGUCAAUGGGCUUACGCCUGAACCAGCCAAGUCGCGUGAGGGAAGACUGCUCUAUGGGUUGUAAACCUCUUUUGGCAGGGAGAAACGCCGACUACGUGUAGCCGGACUGAGAGUACCUGAAGAAAAAGCAUCGGCUAACUCCGUGCCAGCAGCCGCGGUAAUACGGAGGAUACGAGGGUUAUCCGGUUUUAUUGGGUUAAAAGGGUGCGUAGGCGGAAUGCCAAGUCAGCGGGAAAAUCGCGGGGCUCAACCUCGAUCCGCCGUUGAAACUGGCGUUCUUGAGUGGGCGAGAGGUAUGCGGAAUGCGUGGUGUAGCGGUGAAAUGCAUAGAUAUCACGCAGAACUCCGGUUGCGAAGGCAGCAUACCGGCGCCCAACUGACGCUGAAGCACGAAAGCGUGGGUAGCGAACAGGAUUAGAUACCCCUGUAGUC
rnacentral:rRNA from 1 species